rnacentral:snoRNA from 1 species
GUUUAGGAUGUGAUGAAUAUUCUUUUUUCCCCAUCUUAUCGACUGUGGUGAAAAACAUUGCUGAAUUAUAAGCCAGAUAUUCUGAUCCUGUCAC